rnacentral:rRNA from 1 species
GAUGAACGCUAGCGGCAGGCCUAAUACAUGCAAGUCGAACGGUGUAGCAAUACACAGUGGCGCACGGGUGCGUAACACGUAUGCAACCUACCUUACAUUGGGGGAUAGCCUUUCGAAAGGGAGAUUAAUACCGCAUAAGACAGUAACUAGGCAUCUAGUAGCUGUUAAAGAUUUAUCGAUGUAAGCUGGGCAUGCGUCCAAUUAGUUAGUUGGCGAGGUAAUGGCUCACCAAGACGAUGAUUGGUAGGGGAACUGAGAGGUCAAUCCCCCACACUGGCACUGAGAUACGGGGCAGACUCCUACGGGAGGCAGCAGUAGGGAAUAUUGGGCAAUGGGCGAAAGCCUGACCAAGCCAUGCCGCGUGCAGGAAGAAGGCGUUAUGCGUUGUAAACUGCUUUUAUACAGGAAGAAACGACCCUUGCGAGGGGCAUUGACGGUACUGUAUGAAUAAGCACCGGCUAACUCCGUGCCAGCAGCCGCCGUAACAC